UUGAGCGAGAAACGGACUUCGGUCCCGAGUAAAGCAGCGCACGGGUGAGUAACACGUGGGUAACGUACCCUUGGGUAGGGAAUAACGGAUCGAAAGGCCCGCUAAUACCGCACAAGACCACAGUCCCCGCGGGGGACAGGGGGUCAAAGGGGGGCUGUCGUAAGGCAGCUCUCGCCUGAGGAACGGCUCGCGGACCAUUAGCUUGUUGGUGGGGUAAUGGCCUACCAAGGCUACGAUGGUUAGCUGGUCUGAGAGGACGAUCAGCCACACUGGGACUGGAACACGGCCCAGACUCC
rnacentral:rRNA from 1 species